rnacentral:lncRNA from 1 species
GUCCCUGAGGGCCACCCUGCUGGCCUGGCCAUUCUCGUCCUGCCCCCGGCGCUCCAGGGGCAACAGGUGCUCCUCUGCACUGUGUGUGCACAGUCUCCGCCUGUAAGACAGCCACUUGCCGGCAUCAGACUCUGCAGUUUGGGGAAAUGAGACAGAAGAAACAGCUGAGGGAGCUGCCCAGAGAGAAGGCACCAGUUGCUGAUGCGGUCUGGCUGAGGAAGCUGGGCGGGGAGGCACCUCUGUCCCUACGUGCAGGCCACGGGGGGCCUUGAGGCCAGGGGAGAGGAGGAAAGAGGAGAGCCAGACCCAGCCCACCACUCAGGAUAGGCCCUGCCCUCUGGAUCUUUCCUGGGGCCCAGAAGGAGAUGCCCUCACCUCACCCUAGCUGCCGGCGGGGCCUCAUGCUGUGCUGGCCCCUUGUCUUGUGGGAGAGCUCCCUGGGCCCAAGCCCAGGCUGCAGUGGGCACAGUCAGCAGGAGCCUGUGCGAGCUGGACCACAGGACAGCCCUGCUUGAGCUGCACACGUCGGAGGGGAAGACAGACGGGUCCCCUCAGCGGCCCCGCGGCUCCUGUCCUCCACCCUUGGCAUCUUCGUGUGGACGGGCUGUGACCAGACUUCCAGGAGAGGCUGCUGUUACCUGCCAGAUGUUGUAUGGGGCCAAGUCCAGGCAAAACCUCCACUGCCCGCUGAGUACAUCAGCUCACGCGGGGCACGGCCUGGGGUGUGCUGGGCCUGCCUGCAGGCUGUGCGUGGGGUGUUCUGGUAGAACAUGGAGGCCCACUGCAGCCAAAGCCUGGCCUCUUAUGUGGGCAUGGACGUUACCCAGAUAGUCUGGAGAAAACUUCUGCACCCUGGCUUUGGUGCUGCUGAUUACCAGAGAGGGCCCAGGCUCUUCCUGGGAGUCCCAGGGCACUGGCAGCUGCCCUAACCCCAGCAGAGCAGGGGUGCCCAGCUUGGUGGGGAAGUGGAAAUGCAAGCCGGACAGGGCUGAGCUGGCUGUGUGGGCGUCGGGCACCUAGGAUGGCAGAGUGAAUCCCUCCGUGGAGCUGUGCCCUCUGGCCUGUCCUCCUGACCAUGGGUGCACAGAGACCCCUUUGUCCUUCCAGCAUGUCAGCAUGUCAGAAGGGGCCCAGGCGUUGGUCCUGGGGGCCAGGCCAGGGCUGGCAGUGGUUGGAGAUGGGUGGGGCCGGGACACACAGGGCAGGGCUGUCCGGCAGGGCCAUCCGGCAGGGCCGCGGCCCCAGGGCUGCGCCAGGUUCUCAGGCCAAGAGGGAGCUGUGCCCACCAGGCGGGGCUGUGCCCUGAGGAGAGCUUAACUGUCUGUUUCCUUGCUCUUAGCCCUGACGAAGAGUCCUCCCAAAAGUUCAUUCCCUUUGUCGGGGUUGUGAAGGUUGGAAUUGUGGAGCCAUCCUCGGCCACAUCAGGUAACCCCGUCCCACCCUGAGGCCUUGUGAGUGGCCCGUGGGUGGGCUGCAGGAGCACGGUCAUUCGAGUCCUGCAGACCAGAUCAACCUUUCAGGGCCUGAGAGCCGCCACGUCCCAGUCUUGCUGUGGUGCUUCUGUCCUGCGGGGGGUUCAUCCUCCAAGGACUGCUGUCACAAAGCCCCACAUCAAGGCUGGCAGGGUUGUCUUCCAAAAACCGAGGAGAAUCCGAGACCCUCCCGUCUCUCACAGGCCACUGGGGACUCCCACCCUGCCCACCCCCAGGAGCUGCCUGGCCUGGCCACAUCCUGGUCCGGAGGGCCUGGUGGCACCCGGGCAGAGCAGCAGGUGGGCUCAGCCUGCCCUGUGACUCCUCCCCAAAGGCGACUCGGACGACGCGGCCCCCUCGGGCUCUGGCACGCUCUCCUCCACCCCGCCGUCCGCAUCUCCUGCGGCCAAGGAGGCCUCACCCACCCCGCCCUCCUCCCCGUCGGUGAGCGGA